rnacentral:rRNA from 1 species
AACGAACGCUGGCGGCAGGCCUAACACAUGCAAGUCGAGCGGACAUCUUCGGAUGUUAGCGGCGGACGGGUGAGUAACGCGUGGGAACGUGCCCUUUGCUUCGGAAUAGCCUCGGGAAACUGGGAGUAAUACCGGAUGUACCCUUUGGGGGAAAGAUUUAUCGGCAAAGGAUCGGCCCGCGUUGGAUUAGGUAGUUGGUGGGGUAAUGGCCUACCAAGCCGACGAUCCAUAGCUGGUUUGAGAGGAUGAUCAGCCACACUGGGACUGAGACACGGCCCAGACUCCUACGGGAGGCAGCAAUGGGGAAUCUUAGACAAUGGGGGAAACCCUGAUCUAGCCAUGCCGCGUGAGCGAUGAAGGCCUUAGGGUUGUAAAGCUCUUUCACCGGGGAAGAUAAUGACGGUACCCGGAGAAGAAGCCCCGGCUAACUCCGUG